CUUUCUCCUCAGAUCUCCAGGCUCAAAGCGUCAGUCCACCAGCUGAACUCUCAGUCAGACUGGUGGAUGGGACCACUUCCUGUUCUGGGACAGUGGAAGUCUUCUACAGAGGAGACUGGUCAGGUCUAUGUUCUAGGUGGUGGGGCAUGAAAGAGACCAAGAUUCUGUGUAGAGACCUGGGAUGUGGGAAUCUUGUAGCUAAAUCUAGAGGACCACCGUUUGAAGAUGGAAGAGGAGGAAUCAGCAUAUGGCUUUGUAGUGGAGAUGAGUCUUCUAUUACAGAGUGUAAAAAAAUAGAAGGAGGAGCUGGUGUCUGUAAUGCUACAUAUGAGUAUCAUCUUCAUGUGACCUGUUCAGGUAAGAGACUGGUCAUAUUGAGAGAUUUAUUUAUACAUUAUACAAUAUUACCAUGUAUCAUGUUUUAUGUGUUUUUAUUUCAUUUAAAUAGAGGGAGAGAUGUCAGAUGUAUUUAAACAUUAUAUUUGUGUUUGUCAUAUUGGUUUAUGGGAGAUGUUCAUGGGCAGAUCAUUGUAGUUCAGAUGGUACUGAAGUGAAGCUGCCUGAUGGAUGUCCAGCUGUUUAUUUUCUAUAAAGUGAAGUGAACUUA